rnacentral:snoRNA from 1 species
UGCUUGAUGCCACGUUACCAAUAGUGUUCAUUAGAAUUCUUUGACUGGUAAUGCUACAUUGGGCGUAUAACAAACGUUGAAUUUGUUUCUCUGUGUUUCGCAUUUUGAUAGGAACCUGUGGAUUUCGCCCUGUCACUUUCCACGGCGCCGUUUUGUGCGAUUAUAUUA